rnacentral:tRNA from 1 species
GCUGCGGUGGUGGAAUUAGGUAGACACGCUGGCUUGAGGAGCCAGUGGACGGGGAGUCCGUGCGGGUUCGAGUCCCGCCCGCAGCA